UCCUCAACAACUCAGUGGUAGAGCGGUCAGUAGUUAACUAACUGAUCAUAAGUUCGAAUCCUAUUUGGGGAG